rnacentral:tRNA from 4 species
GCACCCGUAGUGAAAUGGAUAUCACAACAGUCUUCGGAACUGUCGUUGGGGGUUCGAAUCCCUCCGGGUGCACAA